rnacentral:rRNA from 1 species
AAUGGACGAAAGUCUGACCGAGCAACGCCGCGUGAGUGAAGAAGGUUUUCGGAUCGUAAAACUCUGUUGUUAGAGAAGAACAAGGAUGAGAGUAACUGUUCAUCCCUUGACGGUAUCUAACCAGAAAGCCACGGCUAACUACGUGCCAGCAGCCGCGGUAAUACGUAGGUGGCAAGCGUUGUCCGGAUUUAUUGGGCGUAAAGCGAGCGCAGGCGGUUUCUUAAGUCUGAUGUGAAAGCCCCCGGCUCAACCGGGGAGGGUCAUUGGAAACUGGGAGACUUGAGUGCAGAAGAGGAGAGUGGAAUUCCAUGUGUAGCGGUGAAAUGCGUAGAUAUAUGGAGGAACACCAGUGGCGAAGGCGGCUCUCUGGUCUGUAACUGACGCUGAGGCUCGAAAGCGUGGGGAGCAAACAGGAUUAGAUACCCUGGUAGUCCACGCCGUAAACGAUGAGUGCUAAGUGUCGGAGGGNCUCCGCCCUUCAGUGCUGCAGCUAACGCAUCAAGCACUCCGCCUGG